rnacentral:rRNA from 1 species
UACGUAGGGCCCGAGCGUUAUCCGGUAUUAUUGGGCGUAAAGAGUACGUAGGCGGUUAUGUAAGACAAUGGUUAAAGCUCCGAGCUCAACUCGGAAAUCGCCGUUGUAACUACAUGACUAGUCGGUAGCAGGGGCAAGCGGAAUUCUCGGUGUAGGAGUGAAAUCCGUUGAGAUCGAGAAGAACACCAAUGGCGAAGGCAGCUUGCUAGGUUACUUGAGACGCUGAGGUACGAAAGCGUGGGGAGCGAAC